rnacentral:rRNA from 1 species
GACGAACGCUGGCGGCGUGCCUAAUACAUGCAAGUAGAACGCUGAAGGAGGAGCUUGCUUCUCUGGAUGAGUUGCGAACGGGUGAGUAACGCGUAGGUAACCUGCCUGGUAGCGGGGGAUAACUAUUGGAAACGAUAGCUAAUACCGCAUAAGAGUAGAUGUUGCAUGACAUUUGCUUGAAAGGUGCAAUUGCAUCACUACCAGAUGGACCUGCGUUGUAUUAGCUAGUUGGUGGGGUAACGGCUCACCAAGGCGACGAUACAUAGCCGACCUGAGAGGGUGAUCAGCCACACUGGGACUGAGACACGGCCCAGACUUCUGCGGGAGGCAGCAGUAGGGAAUCUUCGGCAAUGGACGGAAGUCUGACCGAGCAACGCCGCGUGAGUGAAGAAGGUUUUCGGAUCGUAAAGCUCGGUUGUAAGAGAAGAACGAGUGUGAGAGUGGAAAGUUCACACUGUGACGGUAUCUGACCAGAAAGGGACGGCUAACUACGUG